rnacentral:rRNA from 1 species
ACGACUAAAAUUAACAGUUAGUUACUAGGAAGUAAAACCAAGCUGGGCUGUAAAAAGCCAUAAGCCACAAUAAACCACCUACAAACAAACAAUAUUCACUCGUGAAAGUUAGGGCACAAACUAAGAUUAGAUACCUUACUAUGCCUAACUGUAACACAACAAUUAAAUAACCAAUUGUUCGCCAAAUAACUACGAGUAAAAACUUAAAAUUUAAAAGACUUGACGGUACUUCACAACAACCUAGAGGAGCCUGUCUAAUAACCGAUACUCCACGAUUAACCUAACCCCCCCUGGCCUAACAGUCUAUAUACCGCCGUCGCCAGCCUACCUUAUGAAAGAAACAAAGUAAGCCCAACAGUCACCACACUAAUACGACAGGUCGAGGUGUAACUCAUGGGGGGGGACAAGAUGGGCUACAUUUUCUAACACAGAAAAUACGAAUAAACUAUGAAAAAGAAACUGAAGGCGGAUUUAGCAGUAAACUAAGAACAAAUAUACUCAGUCGAAAAUAAAGCAAUGAAGUGCGUACACACCGCCCGUCAUCCCUGUCAACACUUAUCAAACAUAAAUAAU